AGCGAACGCUGGCGGCAGGCUUAACACAUGCAAGUCGAACGCCCCGCAAGGGGUGUGGCAGACGGGUGAGUAACACGUGGGAACGUACCCUUUGGUUCGGAAUAACUUGGGGAAACUCAAGCUAAUACCGGAUAAGCCCUUAUGGGGAAAGGUUUACUGCCGAAGGAUCGGCCCGCGUCUGAUUAGCUAGUUGGUGAGGUAAUGGCUCACCAAGGCGACGAUCAGUAGCUGGUCUGAGAGGAUGAUCAGCCACACUGGGACUGAGACACGGCCCAGACUCCUACGGGAGGCAGCAGUGGGGAAUAUUGGACAAUGGGGGCAACCCUGAUCCAGCCAUGCCGCGUGAGUGAUGAAGGCCUUAGGGUUGUAAAGCUCUUUUACCCGGGACGAUAAUGACUGUACCGGGAGAAUAAGCCCCGGCUAACUUCGUGCCAGCAGCCGCCGUAA
rnacentral:rRNA from 1 species